rnacentral:rRNA from 1 species
UACGUAGGGGGCGAGCGUUGUCCGGAAUCAUUGGGCGUAAAGAGCGUGUAGGCGGCUUGGCAAGUCUGACGUGAAAGCCCGCGGCUCAACCGCGGAUUGUCGUUGGAAACUGCCUCGCUAGAGUCCGGAAGAGGAGAGCGGAAUUCCUGGUGUAGCGGUGGAAUGCGCAGAUAUCAGGAAGAACACCCGUGGCGAAGGCGGCUCUCUGGGACGGUACUGACGCUGAGGAGCGAAAGCCAGGGGAGCAAACGGG